rnacentral:rRNA from 1 species
UGCAGUCGAGCGAAUCGAUGGGAGCUUGCUCCCUGAGAUUAGCGGCGGACGGGUGAGUAACACGUGGGCAACCUGCCUAUAAGACUGGGAUAACUUCGGGAAACCGGAGCUAAUACCGGAUACGUUCUUUUCUCGCAUGAGAGAAGAUGGAAAGACGGUUUACGCUGUCACUUAUAGAUGGGCCCGCGGCGCAUUAGCUAGUUGGUGAGGUAAUGGCUCACCAAGGCGACGAUGCGUAGCCGACCUGAGAGGGUGAUCGGCCACACUGGGACUGAGACACGGCCCAGACUCCUACGGGAGGCAGCAGUAGGGAAUCUUCCGCAAUGGACGAAAGUCUGACGGAGCAACGCCGCGUGAACGAAGAAGGCCUUCGGGUCGUAAAGUUCUGUUGUUAGGGAAGAACAAGUACCAGAGUAACUGCUGGUACCUUGACGGUACCUAACCAGAAAGCCACGGCUAACUACGUGCCAGCAGCCGCGGUAAUACGUAGGUGGCAAGCGUUGUCCGGAAUUAUUGGGCGUAAAGCGCGCGCAGGUGGUUCCUUAAGUCUGAUGUGAAAGCCCACGGCUCAACCGUGGAGGGUCAUUGGAAACUGGGGAACUUGAGUGCAGAAGAGGAAAGUGGAAUUCCAAGUGUAGCGGUGAAAUGCGUAGAGAUUUGGAGGAACACCAGUGGCGAAGGCGACUUUCUGGUCUGUAACUGACACUGAGGCGCGAAAGCGUGGGGAGCAAACAGGAUUAGAUACCCUGGUAGUCCACGCCGUAAACGAUGAGUGCUAAGUGUUAGAGGGUUUCCGCCCUUUAGUGCUGCAGCUAACGCAUUAAGCACUCCGCCUGGGGGAGUACGGGCCGCAAGGCUGAAACUCCAAAGGAAUUGACGGGGGGCCCGCACAAGCGGGUGGAGCAUGUGGGUUUAAUUCGAAGCAACGCGGAAAAACCUUAACCAGGUCUUGGCAUCC